UCCAAUCACGUUGUAGCCUGCGACAGAUCAAUAGAUGUUUCUAUGGUAACAAGGUUGGUGUCGUAGUGUGUGUCUUGACAGGUGCGUGACAGACUGACACUUCAACCUCACAGCAUGUACGCGAAAGGAAAAGGCUCAACGGUACCAUCCGAUGCUCAAGCGAGAGAAAAGUUAGCCUUGUACGUUUAUGAAUAUCUACUGCAUGUAGGAGCUCAGAAGGCAGCACAAACGUUCCUGUCUGAGAUAAGAUGGGAAAAAAACAUAACAUUAGGGGAGCCUCCAGGAUUUUUACACUCAUGGUGGUG